rnacentral:rRNA from 1 species
AAUUGAAGAGUUUGAUCAUGGCUCAGAUUGAACGCUGGCGGCAGGCCUAACACAUGCAAGUCGAGCGGUAGCACAGAGAGCUUGCUCUCGGGUGACGAGCGGCGGACGGGUGAGUAAUGUCUGGGAAACUGCCUGAUGGAGGGGGAUAACUACUGGAAACGGUAGCUAAUACCGCAUAAUGUCGCAAGACCAAAGUGGGGGACCUUCGGGCCUCAUGCCAUCAGAUGUGCCCAGAUGGGAUUAGCUAGUAGGUGGGGUAACGGCUCACCUAGGCGACGAUCCCUAGCUGGUCUGAGAGGAUGACCAGCCACACUGGAACUGAGACACGGUCCAGACUCCUACGGGAGGCAGCAGUGGGGAAUAUUGCACAAUGGGCGCAAGCCUGAUGCAGCCAUGCCGCGUGUGUGAAGAAGGCCUUCGGGUUGUAAAGCACUUUCAGCGGGGAGGAAGGCGUUAAGGUUAAUAACCUUGGCGAUUGACGUUACCCGCAGAAGAAGCACCGGCUAACUCCGUGCCAGCAGCCGCGGUAAUACGGAGGGUGCAAGCGUUAAUCGGAAUUACUGGGCGUAAAGCGCACGCAGGCGGUCUGUCAAGUCGGAUGUGAAAUCCCCGGGCUCAACCUGGGAACUGCAUUCGAAACUGGCAGGCUAGAGUCUUGUAGAGGGGGGUAGAAUUCCAGGUGUAGCGGUGAAAUGCGUAGAGAUCUGGAGGAAUACCGGUGGCGAAGGCGGCCCCCUGGACAAAGACUGACGCUCAGGUGCGAAAGCGUGGGGAGCAAACAGGAUUAGAUACCCUGGUAGUCCACGCCGUAAACGAUGUCGAUUUGGAGGUUGUGCCCUUGAGGCGUGGCUUCCGGAGCUAACGCGUUAAAUCGACCGCCUGGGGAGUACGGCCGCAAGGUUAAAACUCAAAUGAAUUGACGGGGGCCCGCACAAGCGGUGGAGCAUGUGGUUUAAUUCGAUGCAACGCGAAGAACCUUACCUGGUCUUGACAUCCACAGAACUUAGCAGAGAUGCUUUGGUGCCUUCGGGAACUGUGAGACAGGUGCUGCAUGGCUGUCGUCAGCUCGUGUUGUGAAAUGUUGGGUUAAGUCCCGCAACGAGCGCAACCCUUAUCCUUUGUUGCCAGCGGUUCGGCCGGGAACUCAAAGGAGACUGCCAGUGAUAAACUGGAGGAAGGUGGGGAUGACGUCAAGUCAUCAUGGCCCUUACGACCAGGGCUACACACGUGCUACAAUGGCAUAUACAAAGAGAAGCGACCUCGCGAGAGCAAGCGGACCUCAUAAAGUAUGUCGUAGUCCGGAUUGGAGUCUGCAACUCGACUCCAUGAAGUCGGAAUCGCUAGUAAUCGUAGAUCAGAAUGCUACGGUGAAUACGUUCCCGGGCCUUGUACACACCGCCCGUCACACCAUGGGAGUGGGUUGCAAAAGAAGUAGGUAGCUUAACCUUCGGGAGGGCGCUUACCACUUUGUGAUUCAUGACUGGGGUGAAGUCGUA